rnacentral:rRNA from 1 species
AGAGAAAUUUGGAUUAAUGCCCCAUAGUAUAAUUUAUUCGCAUGAGUAGAUUAUUAAAGUUCCAACGGUAAAAGAUGAGCAUGCGUCCCAUUAGCUAGAUGGUAAGGUAACGGCUUACCAUGGCGACGAUGGGUAGGGGUCCUGAGAGGGAGAUCCCCCACACUGGUACUGAGACACGGACCAGACUCCUACGGGAGGCAGCAGUGAGGAAUAUUGGUCAAUGGACGCAAGUCUGAACCAGCCAUGCCGCGUGCAGGAUGACGGUCCUAUGGAUUGUAAACUGCUUUUGUACGAGAAGAAACACUGCUACGUGUAGCAGCUUGACGGUAUCGUAAGAAUAAGGAUCGGCUAACUCCGUGCCAGCAGCCGCGGUAAUACGGAGGAUCCAAGCGUUAUCCGGAAUCAUUGGGUUUAAAGGGUCCGUAGGCGGUUUAGUAAGUCAGUGGUGAAAGCCCAUCGCUCAACGGUGGAACGGCCAUUGAUACUGCUAAACUUGAAUUAUUAGGAAGUAACUAGAAUAUGUAGUGUAGCGGUGAAAUGCUUAGAGAUUACAUGGAAUACCAAUUGCGAAGGCAGGUUACUACUAAUGGAUUGACGCUGAUGGACGAAAGCGUGGGUAGCGAACAGGAUUAGAUACCCUGGUAGUCCACGCCGUAAACGAUGGAUACUAGCUGUUGGGAGCAAUUUCAGUGGCUAAGCGAAACGAUGGAUACUAGCUGUUGGGAGCAAUUUCAGUGGCUAAGCGAAAGUGAUAAGUAUCCCACCUGGGGAGUACGUUCGCAAGAAUGAAACUCAAAGGAAUUGACGGGGGCCCGCACAAGCGGUGGAGCAUGUGGUUUAAUUCGAUGAUACGCGAGGAACCUUACCAAGGCUUAAAUGUAGAUUGACCGGUUUGGAAACAGACCUUUCGCAAGACAAUUUACAAGGUGCUGCAUGGUUGUCGUCAGCUCGUGCCGUGAGGUGUCAGGUUAAGUCCUAUAACGAGCGCAACCCCUGUUGUUAGUUGCCAGCGAGUCAAGUCGGGAACUCUAACAAGACUGCCAGUGCAAACUGUGAGGAAGGUGGGGAUGACGUCAAAUCAUCACGGCCCUUACGCCUUGGGCUACACACGUGCUACAAUGGCCGGUACAGAGAGCAGCCACUGGGCGACCAGGAGCGAAUCUAUAAAACCGGUCACAGUUCGGAUCGGAGUCUGCAACUCGACUCCGUGAAGCUGGAAUCGCUAG